CGUCUUGAAUCCUCCUGGAUCACUUGAUCCCAUUAUAACUCCACAUUUAAGUGCAGUGCACUCGGGCUAGAGUAGUUAUGGGAUGGGUGACCACUUGGGAAGUCCUAGUGUUUUACAUGC
rnacentral:rRNA from 1 species